GAAAAGAAACUACAAGGAUUCCCCUAGUAACUGCGAGUGAAGCGGGAAGAGCUCAAAUUUGAAAUCUGGCGGCUCUUUGACCGUCCGAGUUGUAAUCUAGAGAAGUGCUACCCGUGCUGGACUGUGUACAAGUCUCCUGGAAUGGGGCAUCGUAGAGGGUGAGAAUCCCGUCUUUGACACGGACUGCCAGUGCGCCCUGGGUGUGCUCUCGAAGAGUCGAGUUGUUUGGGAAUGCAGCUCAAAAUGGGUGGUAAAUGCCAUCUAAAGCUAAAUAUUGGCGAGAGACCGAUAGCGAACAAGUACCGUGAGGGAAAGAUGAAAAGAACUUUGGAAAGAGAGUUAAACAGUACGUGAAAUUGCUGAAAGGGAAACGCUUGGAGUCAGUCGCGUUGGCCAGAAAUCAGCCUUGCUCCUGCUUGGUGUACUUUCUGGUCUUUUACGGGUCAGCAUCAAUCUUGACCGCCGGACAAAGUCUUUGGGAAUGUGGCAUCUUUUGGAUGUGUUAUAGCCCAGGGUCGCAUACGGCGGCUGGGAUUGAGGAACUCAGCACGCCCGCAAGGGAUGGGUCCUUGGACCACAAAUUUUUUUCG
rnacentral:rRNA from 1 species